AGCAGCGUGGCGCAGUAGAAGCGAGCUGGGCCCAUAACCCAGAGGUCGGUGGAUCGAAACUACUCGCUGCUA
rnacentral:tRNA from 1 species